UGACUCAGGGGCAUAUGAAUGUGGGGAGCUGCCCUUUGCUUUAUAAAUUGUUUCCACACAACUUCAGAUAUUUCCUGGAAAACAAAUGUGAACAUAAACAUGAUGUAAACAUGUACGCGGAAAUGUAUACAUGGGGAGAAAGCAAGGCAGGCUGUGAGAGAUGCCUGGCGCCUGAAUUUCAAUCCCAGCUUUGCCACUUAAGCUGUGUGACCUUGAGUAAGACAUUGAACCUCUCUGAUCCCUUUGCUGGCCAGUAAAAUGGGGAUAACAGUUCUUACCUUGAGGAGCUACGGAGAGAACUGAAUGGAAUAUAGCUUGUGAAAUCAGUGCUAGUGGUUUUGUUAUUAUUAUUAUUGAUCAAGCACUGUCCCACACCCUGAGGUUAGAGAGAGUACCUCAGCUUGGCUCCUGCCCCCAUAGAGCUUCCGGUCUAGUGACUGGAGCUGGGUAAAGAGAAGAACGGAGGACUCCAGGGAGGCCACGGUUCUCCUAGAGCUGAGAGGAAGAGUGAAAGCUAGAUAAUCUACAGUCCGAUGAUUAUGGAAUGGAAGCCCAUACAAUAUGAAGAGGCCGAAGCCCCAACUGGAAACGACGGAGCGAUUUCCCCUGCUGCCAUCAGUCUCAAGAAUUUUUCCAGGUCAAGAAGUACAACGUAUUUAGAAACCGGACAUGUGGAGCGGAAGGAAGAAGAAAAUAAGAAAAAAACAAAAACAGGGCUCGUCCGGGAUUUGAACCCGGGACCUCUCGCACCCUAAGCGAGAAUCAUACCCCUAGACCAACGAGCCACUGCUGUAAGUGCCCCCUCGACUCUCUUUCUAAGGAGAUCCGGCGGCGCCAUGGAGCCUGCGCAGUUCAACCCUGGGCCUCUCUUGCACCUGCGUCCAGCGCCCGCAACAAGCUCAAGACUCCGCGUCCGCUCGAUACAACCCAGACGCCGAGAUUCUUUCUUUUGCCUGCGAGCUCUGCGUCCGGACGUGGGGACAACGCACCCAGCCGUCGUGCGCUAGGGAUAUGUGCCUGUCUGCAGACGGAGCUGCGGGUUUACACCGGGUCUCGGCGCUCGCGCUGGACCUCGGGAGGGUGCUGGCCGCGGGGUCCCCCCCGCGCCGCCUAGCCUUUGCGGAGCUCCCUACCGCGGUCUCACGCCGCCAGCAUCAGUACCAGCACUGUCGCGCAGCCCGGGCCUUGGGCUCCUGGACGUCUGGCUUUAUGCGAAGAUAACCGGAGUUGGCGAGGCUUCGGCCUGAAAUUUCAUCCGGGCUGGGUCAGGUGUGCAGAUUCCUUCGUUUAGCACCGAACUUGGGCGGAACUCCCGUCCUCGCCAGGGGGGCCUCCUAGCACGGGGCGUGCCUGGCACCUCUUCCCGCCCGUCGCCUCUGCGUCCCCGGGCCCAGGAUUCUACGCUCCCUGAGAGGCCUCUGUGCGCAGCAUGGAUUCCAGACCCCCCAAGAGAAACAGGGGUUCCCUGGAGCCCCUCCACCGUUUGUCUCCUCUGUGUCCCUGGGAAAUGUAGCCGGCGUGUUUGGGCUGCCCGCCCCGUGAAAUGGGGGUAUCAAGGUCUGCCCGCUCUCUUCCGGAGAGGGGGAGGGAGGGAGGAGGAGCUGCGGGGUCCCCACCAUCGCACGCACGCCCCUGAGAGGGAAAGGUUGGUGGCAGUGCUGGCCCCCAGUACACAUGCCACCAGCCGUCCAGCCGAUUCCAGCCAAUUUCCAUUGCUUGUCAUUCCUCACACACACACCCCUGACUUACGCUGGGGACACUGAGACAACAAGGCCCGGGAAGGACUUUUGCAAACCCCUUACAGCUGUGCCUGCGUCUUCGGGGUUCGCUGAGCCUCGCACUUCCUUAUUCCCAGGUCUGAGGAAGUGCGGGCAGGAAGAAAUAUCUCAAGCUGGUCUGCUGGAAGCGUUUGUAAAGCUUCUUUCACUCCACAGCGCGAUGUGCCUGGCGCCUGCUCUGCCCCAGCCCUGGGCUGGGCCUUGGGGACACUGAUGAGUCAGACCUGCCUCCCGAACCCCCUGCCCAGUGGCGGCCACAGUGGCUGCGCCCUCUGCCCAGCCCAGGGCUGUGGGCUGGUCUGCAGGACCUCAGUCUGGGCCUUGGCUGGCUGUGGUUGCUGCUGAAGGAGGCUGUGGCCUGGACGCAAACCGGGGACCUCACCUCCUCGGCCUAGGCCCUCCACACCCCCAGAAAGGCCUUCUUCCUGGACAGUCCACACUGCUGCAGGCCCUGCAGGGGCUUCCUAGGGGCCUUGGGCAUAAUGAUGAGCUCUUAGCCUGCCACUCUCAGCCCUGAGACCUGAACCCCCUGCCCACUGUCACCUCUCAGCAGGCCCCCUCACUCCAUCUUGAACACCCCAGGCCAUGGUUCCAUUCAAAGCUGCCAUUCCAUGGAGGGUGCCCCCGGCUUCCUGUAAAUUCCCAGCUUUGCCCUUUCUGCUCCAGCACGUCCUCCACAAGGCAGACCCAAACUGGGUCAGGGCCUCCUCUGGUGCCCUCAGCUCCUGCGUUCCCUGUCACCCUGGCUGCCUGACCCCUGCAUACAUCUGUGUCUCCACCAGUGGGGUGGAGGGAAAGGGUUCCCGAGGAAGGACACGGGCCAGGUCAGCAGAGGGCCGGGCCCAGAUGACCUGUGGAGAGGGUUUGUUAAAUGAGUGCUAUUUUGUCUCUUUUCUAAAAGCUGAAACCAAAGAAAAACGUCACAACAGCUCAAAGCCUGGUCGGAGUCAGAGGUUCGAGAACAGCUCGUUUGCCCUCUCAAUCGGCACAAAAUGCCUGUCAGCCACGAAACGUCCGAGGGGGCUUCUCUGGCCCCUCUGUGACAGCUGGGGCCCUUGGAGAUGACUUCACUGGACAGGGGUCAGGCAGAGCAGGAGGGGCCCAGGAGGAGGUGACAAGGCGACUUUCUAACCAAAAGGGCUUCCGGCUCAGAGGCCUCAGUGUGGACUAAGUAGGCCCAGGAAUGUCUCGGGGAGGCCAUAUAGAGGCCAGAGCAUGGGAGAUGGCCAGGGGCAGGUACCUGUGGGUGCAUCCCCCCAGAGUUUGCAGAGAGGCAAGGGGCAAGGGAUGGAGGGUGGUGGGGAGUGGUUGUCUUUGCUCCUGCUGAGCCAGCAGGUGGGAUAAUAGGCCCAUCAGGCCUGAAGGCCACUCCUCCAGGCAAAUCUGGGCUGCGACUGGGCUCUCUGAGUAGAUGGUGUGAUAUAAAUAUUUAGGCCCCACUAGCUGUUCACACCCUUCUCAGGGGGGACUCAAGACUUCACAGCUGCAGGGCUGUGAUUGAUACCAUGCUCCUGACAGCGGCCAAGCAGGGAGUCCUGGAGAGUCUUGGCCCUCAGAGCAGAAGGGAAGGGGCAGGGAGAGAGGGAGGAGGGGGAGGGCAGUCUCCGUCACUCACACCCUCAUUUAUCCUGUUCCUUCAGCCCACAGCCCUGCGCUGGGAGCUGCAGGAGGUACACAGAGUGAUAAGCUGAUUCCUAAGGCGCUCUGUGCAGCUAGCGUGCGGGUGCUCCAGGGAGAAGAGGAUGAGUGGGGAGAGAAUGGGAAGGCAGGGAGGAGAGCAGGGAGCCGGAGGUGAGAGCGAGGAGGGGCCAGGGAGAAUGAAAACCCAGGCUGUUGGUGGUUUCUUCUUUUUUUAAGAGCCACAAGCUGAGAUCAAAGGUGAUAUUUUUGCAGCAACUGAAAUAGAAAACCACUGCGCGCACAGUGGGAGGUGAGCGGCGGGAACACAGGCCCCUUUAUGCAGCCUGUGGCCACAGCAAGCACGCUGCCCUCUGCCGAGUGUCAUGGGGCGUAGGGGACAGUGUGGCCUCCAUCCUCCCAACUUAGGUCCCAGAAAGAAGUGAAGGGGGUGAGCUACAGCUCUCGGUGCUGGGAGAGGAGAAGGUGGGCAGUCAAGGAUCGUAUGAGCACCCCGCGCCUGGCACCUUCCGCCAAGAUCACCCUCGCCAUUCUUGCUGGAGGUGUGAGAUUGGAGCCAGGCCCUGGUCAUCCUCACAGAGCCCUGUGAGGAAGGGUCAUUGUCACCCCUGUUUUACGGAGGAGGAAACCAAGGCUGCAAGGGAAAAAUAAUUUGGUCAAGUCGCACAGGGAGUUGGGAGCAAAUUCAGGACUAGGAUCCCAGGACUCCUGGUCCAACACCCUGUCUGCUCUCUGUGCUCACUCACACACUCACGUGCUGAAUUAUUUAUUGCGCUUCUGCUAUUGCUGGUCCUAGCUGGCCCCGACAUAGCAGGGCCCACACUCAAGUCUACCAGGACACUGGUUCUCAAAGUGUGGUCGCAGGAUCAGCAGCAUCAGCCUCACCUGGGAACAUGCUAGAAAUGCAAAUUCUCAGGCCCCAACCCAGACUUACUGGACCAGAAACUCUGGGAGUAGACCCAGCCCUCCAUAUUUUAAUGAAUUCUCCAGGGGAUUCUGAUAUGCACUGAAGUUGAGGGUCACUGUACUGUGUUACCUCAGUUUCCACAGCUGUGCUUCAGGGAAAAUUACAACACCCAUCUCACAAGGUUGAGCCCAGUAUCAGCUAACACGUGUGCUGUGUGUGUGCCCUGCAUCCUUCUAGGCCCUUUACAGAUGUCAACUAAUUUAAUUUCACAACUCCGGGAGAUAGGAACUAAUAUUGUCCACAUUUCACAAAUGAGGACAUGAAGGCACAGAGAGGUAGAAUAACUCGCCCAGGGUCACACAGCUAGUAAGUGGCAGAGAUCCAAGCUCUUAACAGCUAACCAGCGGAAAGCCCCCAGCAGAGGGUCUGGCUCCCGGAAUGUGUUCCAGGCGUGGCUGAAGAUGUGAUGAUGGCAAUUACUAUUACCUCACCUGAAAUUGAGAUGAUGAUCCCCAUUUUGUAAAUGAGAAAUUGUCCACCUUGUCAAGAUGGAGGAGUGAGUCAGCUGCAAGGGCAGCCUCAGUGUCUGAAAGCCCAGUGCAGGCCACAGGCCCUCACCAUUCAUGCAGCUUCGAGACCACAAUAUAGCAUCUCGGUCUUCUGGAAACAUCCCAGUUUGCUGUAGGGAAGAGCUUGGGCUCUGACAGAGGUGGGCUGGAACCCUAAUUCUGCUACUCAGGGGCUGUGUGACCUUGGACAAGUUGCCUCACCUCUCUGAGCCACCUUUUUCUUCUCUGUAAAGUGGAUGAUGACAGUCCUAACCUUGCAGGUUCCUGCGAGGGUUGGAGAAGAUGACAUUUGUGCCCAGCCCAGAACAUGUACUGAGCUGGCCAUCAGCACGCAGCUUGUCCCUCUCUCCUCCCCCUCCCUGCUACUACCUCCAUGGAAAGACCAGCUCUGGGCCCAGAAAACAGUUGAAAGAAGAAGAAAUAAGUUCCCAAAUGAUCACAAUGCAUUUGUCCUCCAGCCUCCCUGCCCUUUUCCAGAUCUCCUUGCAAUAGCCGCCCGGGCUGGGGCUUCUGGGGGAACUCUGGCACCUGCUCCAUCCAAGUUGGGAGGUAAGUAAGCUACGAAGGGAAGAGGAGGUGUCCUCUGAGCCACCACCGCCGCCCGGGGGGCCGCCAUCAGCCAAGCCUCUGCACACCCGCCUGCUGCGAGGCAGUCUGGCCUGGACAUCUGAAGCUCGUUAGCGGCCUGCUCCCGGGGGGCUGACCCUGCUUGGCGAGAGUUAUCCCAGACACAGCCGCAGAGGAUGGAGCCAACGAAGACCAGGUGAGGUGUGGCCACAGACGGGGGAACACAGUCUCUGGAGUGGCCUCUGGGGACCCCUGGAGAGCAGAGGAGGCUGAGAGAACGCACCGAGCCUGGGCCCAGCUCCAGCCCAUCCACUGGCUCCCAGCUUUGCAAACUGGAGAUGGGGGGUGGGAGGGGACCCCUUUCCCUCUUUGGACCUCUGUUUCCCCAUGUGUGCCUUGGAGGAGGGGCAAACAUGGCAGACGCUGAGGACCUUCCAGCCCUGACACUGUGGGGUCUCAGCCUGGCCUAGAAUUCCCAGCCUCUGAGGUUUAGCCCAGAGCUGGUGAGUGAGGGCUGGUGGGUGGAAGACAAUUCAGGGAUGGAGAGCCAUGAUGCCUGCCUCAGGCCUGAAGAUCAGAGGGGAGCCCAUCUCCAGAAAGUGAUGUCGCAUUUCAGAACAGUCAGGGAGGUGCCCUCUCGGUAUCCGUAGGUGGCAGAGACGGCGUGAGCUGAGCCUCCUGGAUGCAGGGGCUCCCACUGGACCGAUGGCCAAGUUCAAGACCCUCCUCCCUUUCUGGACCCAGCACUCCGCCCUGCUGUCCAGCUAGGCCACAGCUAACUUUCACUGGCUCCUUGUUUUAUUCCAGGCACUGUUCUAAACACUAUACACAUAUUCAAAUCAUUUGACCUUUCACUGGGUGGCAGGACCUGGGUGAGGGACCAGCCUGGAGUCUGGCCCUUAUCUGGUUGGUCCUGAUGUUGACCUUUCUCAAGAUGCCUAGGAAGGUCAGACAGGCUGGCCCUAACCAUGUCGCUCAAGGUCAAUGCCUCCUCCCAGCACUAUUGUAAGCAACCCCGGGCCGGCUCCCUUUCUGCUGACAGGAGUGCUCUUGUCCCCUCCCCCGUCUCCUUCCCUCCUGGGAGCUGGGUCUCUGGGAAGCUGGGGCCUGGAGGGCCUGGAGUCUGAGCAAAGGGGCGAGGAGGGCUUGUGCAGAGGGCUGUUCACGCAGACCUUGGUGAAACCUGAUGGACUGUCUCCACUCCGCAGAGAAGCCCUCUGGGGACUGGGAUGGGCACGUCCCUCAGACAGUUCUUCCCUUCUGGACAGUGUUGGAUGUGCACACAGCCAAAGUGGGCUUCUCUGGACCUUGGCUCUGCUCUGGACACCUCACUCCUUGGUUACUGCAUUCUUUCUUUGGCUGGGUUAACAUCUGUGAUGACCAGGCUGGAGAGCUGUGUCCGGAGCCAGGGAGCAUUUUGAGUCUCUUACUUCUCACUGGGCAGCCUCCUUACUGGCAUUUCUAACAAAGGCCCAGAGAGAGGUGGGGACCUACCCAAGCUCACACAGACAGUCAGGACUGAGACAACCUGGAUUCCCAGCGCGUUCCCAAUUACAUGGUUUAUCACUUUCAAAUAUGAAAAAUGAAUUAUAUCACUGCAGAAAAAUUAGAACAUACAGAUAAGAAAAAGCAAAAAUAAAGAUACCUUUGGUUUGUUUCUCAGAGAAACUUCCACUGCCCUUCCCCGUCCCUUCUCUCCACUCCCCCAGCCCCAGCCAUAAUCAAUACCUCGCCUCCUUUUGCCAACAGCUGGUCCCUGAGGAACAAGCCUUGACAGCAGGUCCUGGAAGACAGCCUUAGACCGGAUUCUGGAAAGGCCUGGCGUCUCUUCCCGAACAGCAGAGCUUCCGCCCAAACGGAACUGCUUAAGUGCAGGAUACAGUAGGAAAUACUCCCCGCCAGGACUCGGGAGCCUGCACCCAGCCCUGCCUAGUUUGUGGAUCGACUCUGUGUGACCUUGGGCCAAUCCCUGCCCUCUCAGUUUCUUCCACUGUAGAAUGAAGACUUGGACUUGACCAAGUGGUUUCCCCGCAGCCUAUCUCAGUCUUUCAGCUUCUCUUGGUCCAGGGCCGUGCCCUCUCCUCCUAAGUAGACCAUACAAUUUAGAAUCAGAGGGCAGGGUUCAAGCUCCCCAAGGUCAUCACUCCCUAGCUGUGUGACCCUGGGCAGGGCACCACACCCCUCUGGGCUCUGCUCCCCCAUGGAAAGACAGAGUUCAGAGAGUGCUCACCCUCUGUGUCUGUGUCUCAGGGCUGCCAUAGGUCACAUGAGAGGUGGACCUCCAAGAUGUCUGGACGAUGCAGAGCGAGGUGUUCUACUGGCCUAUUAACUGCGAGUGCCCCCUGCCUGCCCAGCGCCCAGCUCUGUCCUGGCUCGGGGUCUGGCCCGGGCUUGCAGAUGCAGCCCCUGCCUGCCCGCAGACUAACAGAGCUCUGGCAGGAGGAGUGUGCGGACCCUGGGCCCAGCCCGCUGGAUGAAGUGUCAGUUACUUUGCCCAGGGGGCCUCAGGGCCCAUGACAUCAUGGACAGCACUUUCCAUGUUGGAGCUCACAGAACUAAGGCCAUUUUAAAAAAUAGCACUGCCUUUUUUCCUUUCUUUCUUUUUCCAUUUUGGCUAAGGCAUGGAAUGUGAAAGCUGCUAAAUUAUUGCAGGAAGGAGUAGAGGCUGGGUUCGUAGCUGACUCUGCUUUCUGGGGUCCUAAAAACAAUGGCAAACCCAGGAAGGCUGGCCCUUGCUUCCUCAUGCCCACCUCAACCCCACUGCAGGCUCCCCUGACAAGACCAAGGGGCGGGGGACAAUAAUGACCUGCCCCUGGUUCCCAGAUGACCUCUCUGGACCUCAGCUUGCCAUCUGUUGUGGACUGGAUGUUUGUGUCCCCCCAAAAUUCAUAUGUUGAUGCCCUACCCGCUAGUGUGAUGGUAUUUGGGUGGCGCCUUUGGGAGGUCAUAGGUUUAGAUGAGGUCAUGAGGGUGGGGCCCCCAUGAUGGGAUUAGUGUCUUUCCAAGAAGAGGAAGAGAGACUAGAGGUCUCUCUCUCUCCGUGUCUCUCUCUGCCAGGGCACAAAGAGGUCGUGUGAGCACACAGCAAGAUGGCGGCCCUCUACAAGCCGGGAAGAGGGCUGUCACCGAGACCCAAUCUGCCAGCACCUUGCUCUUGGACCUCCAGCCUCCAGAACUGUCAGAAAUAAAUGUCUGUUGUUCAAGC